rnacentral:rRNA from 1 species
CUACCAGGGUUUCUAAUCCUGUUUGCUCCCCACGCUUUCGAGCCUCAGCGUCAGUUACAGUCCAGAGAGUCGCCUUCGCCACUGGUGUUCUUCCUAAUCUCUACGCAUUUCACCGCUACACUAGGAAUUCCACUCUCCUCUCCUGCACUCUAGAUAAUCAGUUUGGAAUGCAGCCCCCAGGUUGAGCCUGAGUAUUUCACAUCCCACUUAAUUAUCCGCCUACGCUCCCUUUACGCCCAAUAAUUCCGGAUAACGCUCGCCACCUACGUAUUACCGCGGCUGCUGGCAC